rnacentral:rRNA from 1 species
UACGGGGGGGGCAAGCGUUAUUCGGAAUUACUGGGCGUAAAGGGCUCGUAGGCGGCCAACUAAGUCAGACGUGAAAUCCCCAGGCUUAACCUGGGAACUGCGUCUGAUACUGGAUGGCUUGAAUUCGGGAGAGGGAUGCAGAAUUCCAGGUGUAGCGGUGAAAUGCGCAGAUAUCAGGAGGAACACCGGUGGCGAAGGCGGGUCUCUGGGCAGUAACUGACGCUGAGGAGCGAAAGCGUGGGGAGCGAACAGG